rnacentral:rRNA from 1 species
CGUAACGCGUAUGCAAUCUACCUUGUUCAGAGGGAUAGCCCAGAGAAAUUUGGAUUAAUACCUCAUAGUAUAGCUGAAUCGCAUGAUUCUACUAUUAAAGUCACAACGGUAAAAGAUGAGCAUGCGUCCCAUUAGCUAGUUGGUAAGGUAACGGCUUACCAAGGCUACGAUGGGUAGGGGUCCUGAGAGGGAGAUCCCCCACACUGGUACUGAGACACGGACCAGACUCCUACGGGAGGCAGCAGUGAGGAAUAUUGGACAAUGGGCGCAAGCCUGAUCCAGCCAUGCCGCGUGCAGGAUGACGGUCCUAUGGAUUGUAAACUGCUUUUAUACGAGAAGAAACACUGCUUCGUGAAGCAGCUUGACGGUAUCGUAAGAAUAAGGAUCGGCUAACUCCGUGCCAGCAGCCGCGGUAAUACGGAGGAUCCAAGCGUUAUCCGGAAUCAUUGGGUUUAAAGGGUCCGUAGGCGGUUUAAUAAGUCAGUGGUGAAAGCCCAUCGCUCAACGGUGGAACGGCCAUUGAUACUGUUAAACUUGAAUUAUUAGGAAGUAACUAGAAUAUGUAGUGUAGCGGUGAAAUGCUUAGAGAUUACAUGGAAUACCAAUUGCGAAGGCAGGUUACUACUAAUGGAUUGACGCUGAUGGACGAAAGCGUGGGUAGCGAACAGGAUUAGAUACCCUGGUAGUCCACGCCGUAAACGAUGGAUACUAGCUGUUGGGAGCAAUCUCAGUG